rnacentral:rRNA from 1 species
UACGUAGGUCGCAAGCGUUGUCCGGAUUUACUGGGCGUAAAGAGCGCGCAGGCGGCUGGUCAAGUCCGAUGUGAAAUCUCCCGGCUCAACUGGGAAACUGCAUCGGAAACUGAUCGGCUUGAAGGUGGGAGAGGGUAGUGGAAUUCCCGGUGUAGUGGUGAAAUGCGUAGAUAUCAGGAAGAACACCCGUGGCGAAGGCGGCUCUCUGGGACGGUACUGACGCUGAGACGCGAAAGCGUGGGGAGCGAACAGG